rnacentral:lncRNA from 1 species
AAGAACCCAUUUCUUCAAUCCUCCUUCCUCUGCCGUGAACCAAAACAAAAUCCCCUUCUCCAUCUUUUCUUUUCUACACCAAAAUUCCUUCAAAUUUCCAUCUCCAAUCAAUUACCCAUCUUCUCCCAACACAUUUUCAAAGUAGAAUUUGAAGAAAAGAAAAGAAAUCAAAGAGAAAAUUCAAGAUUGAAGGAGAGUGAAUAGUAACCAAGGGUUUGGAAAUUUAAAGGGAUGUUAGGGGUUUUGAUGUAGGGAUGUUUCUUAUUAUUUUUAUGUGACUAUUUAUGAGAAAUAUUGUAUUAAUAUGAUUUAUUGGUUUAUUUUUUUCAUGAAGAAGAAGUGGAAGGGAAGAGUGGAAACUCUAAAGGAAAAG